rnacentral:misc_RNA from 1 species
AGCAGCCGCGGUAAUUCCAGCUCCAAUAGCGUAUAUUAAAGUUGUUGCAGUUAAAAAGCUCGUAGUUGAAUUUCGGGGUUAGCAGGUCGGUCGUGCCAUCGGUAUGAACUGGUCUCGCUGAUCCCUCCCUCUUGAAGAACUGUGAUGCCAUUAAUUUGGUGUCGCAGGGAAUCAGGACUGUUACUUUGAAAAAAUUAGAGUGUUUAAAGCAGGCUCACGCUUGAAUACAUUAGCAUGGAAUAAUGAAAUAGGACGUUUGAUCCUAUUUUGUUGGUUUCUAGGAUUGACGUAAUGAUUAAUAGGGAUAGUUGGGGGCAUUAGUAUUCAAUUGUCAGAGGUGAAAUUCUUGGAUUUAUUGAAGACUAACUACUGCGAAAGCAUUUUGCCAAGGAUGUUUUUAUUAAUCAAGAACGAAAGUUAGGGGAUCGAAGACGAUCAGAUACCGUCGUAGUCUUAACCAUAAACUAUGCCGACUAGGGAUCGGAUGAUGUUAAUUUUUUCAAUGACUCAUUCGGCGCCU